rnacentral:rRNA from 1 species
CGUGUAGGCGGCCUUGUAAGUCAGAUGUGAAAGCCCUUGGCUUAACCAAGGAAGUGCAUUUGAAACUGCUCGGCUUGAGUACGGGAGGGGGAAGCGGAAUUCCCGGUGUAGAGGUGAAAUUCGUAGAUAUCGGGAGGAACACCGGUGGCGAAGGCGGCUUCCUGGACCGAUACUGACGCUGAGACGCGAAAGCGUGGGGAGCAAACAGGAUUAGAUACCCUGGUAGUCCACGCCCUAAACGUUGGGCACUAGGUGUUGCGGGUAUUGACCCCUGCAGUGCCGAAGCUAACGCAUUAAGUGCCCCGCCUGGGGAGUACGGCCGCAAGGUUAAA